rnacentral:lncRNA from 1 species
GGGCCCACAGAUAUCGCUUUUAUCCCGAAGGUAAAAGGAAUGGAUAAACUUCGACUCAUAUGGCUUGUUCUACUACUUGUUGAAUCAUACACAAAGGCACGUUUUAUAACAUCGAGUUACCGAAUGCGUUUUCAUGCAAUCAAUGUACAACCAACUCAUAGUAACAACUCAUAUCUCUAGGUUUGAAGAAUAUAAGAUAUUAUCGUCUCAUGAUCACUCGUGAUAAAAUCCAUGAAGUGAUUCAAAUGAGCGCGGGUUGAAUCCAAUACUCAGAACUUAUGAGCACUCAUGAGUGUUGUAGCACAACUUUGUCCACCAACUUGGACCUCUACAAGCCAACCCAUGACAGUCUUGAUUCAUAUCUACUUCCAACAUAUGACCGACUGUGGAUGGUUUGAAUAACUUAGUCAUUCCAGAAGAAUAACCUAGUUAUUAUGGAAGUCAAAACAUGCAAAGUGAAACACAAGAAUAAAUGAAUCAAAUAUGGUAUCAAACCCUAUGAAUAUAAAUAGACCACUUUUAUUUAUCACCAUACUGAUUACUCAUUAUUCAUUGUUUCAGUUUUAUCAACUUAUACUUGAAUUAAAAACACUAGGUGUCCCAUGCUCCAAGCAUGUACACUAUGUUUUCUAAACAAUAGUUUUGCCAUACACCAAGUAUGAAAUCUAUGUUUGUCUAUGACCCUUUUCUUUGUGAACUAGAUCAAUUGAACAUAAUUUCAAUGAUUCUCUUUUCACACUCCCAAAUCCUUGUCUUAAAUGUAAGAAUUCCAAAUUACUAUCAUUUAUCGAACUUUGUUUAGAUUUUAAACUAAUAUGCACUAUUCCUCUUGUAAUGAUUAUGGACAAAGCCACAAAGACUUGGCAACAAUCAUUACAGAGUAUUCCAAUGGAGAGCAAUUCCAUGGAAACGAUGUCUCAAAUUCAAAGCGCAUUGCUUUGAACAUGCUUCUUGCAUUAAGUUUCUUUAACCUUACACAGAUUGCUUCCACCUAUGAAGACAACUCUAUAUUCCCAUUUUGACUACCACUUCUGAACAAGAGUUGCCUCUUUUCAGACUAUGUCAAUAUGGUCCUUCCAAUAUUAACAGUAUACUUCCAACUGUCCUUGAGCAACCAAUCUUUGGUAAACCUUAGAUUGUCCUCGACAAUUGCUUAAUCACUUUAGUCAUAUCCAAUUCUAGACAUUUUCCUCCUUAAUGCCCCAAGGCAUUUGGAAAAUUCAUAAAGAAUAAAUAUUAUAGCACAUGUAAUCGAUCUUGUACCCAAAGUAAAUGGGACACGAUUCAUGAUGUUUCACAUAAAGACAUGGUUCUAGACCAGUCUUUUGCCAUAAUAAUUUUUUGUUUGCCAUAUUCUCAAAAUUUGACUAUGAAAAGGGAUGCCGUAAUCAUAAUCGAAUUUUGAGAACGCAAUAUAUAGAAUUUUCUUAAGUUGAACCAAUCCAACAUGAAAUUCAUAUAUAUAUUCUUGACUAAAGGUGAUUAAAAUCUCAAUAUAAGCUCUUUAGAAUGAUUAUAAACUCAAUCUAAGCUUUUUAGAAUUGAAAUGAAGUAUAAUUUCCUCUCCCUUAAUUAUAGCAAAACAACUUUUUCAACCCCUGCAACCUCACGAAUUGAAACUUUUGUUUUCUAUAAUUAACAUUGCUAACUUGCAAUACUUAUCAUAAUUAUCAUGCUCCCACUAACAUGAUGAUUAUUAGCAUCAUACUUAUGCUCCCACUAGCUUUGACAUGUACUCAGCAAUUAGCUAGACUUCUAGAAAUCAAUACUUUAUUGACUUUCUUACCAAAGUUUAGAAUUCUGAUAUGAGAUUGCUUUGAUAAGACAUUAUCAGACUCAUAUACUUUAUGUUAGAUAGUUUACAGGUGUGUCUAAACAAUUUCAGAACUAUGAAAAGGAAUCCCGUAAUCAUAGACUCAAUUGUUUAGACCUUUGCCAUCUGCUUCAAAUCUACUUGGUGGUAGUGUUUCUUCACCAUCAUUUUCAUGAAUCGGAGAGAAACCUUAUGACCCUUAGAUUUUAUGGUGUAUGUGUUCUUAUCUAUGUGAAUCUGUCAAAACCAUAAUCACAAGACAAGAUUAGUGACAAUUCCAAAUUCAUAUGGACUGAACUUGUGCAAUCUUAAAUUCAUGCCACCUGGCAGCUCAAGGGCCUUCCAUUGCUUCCAAGUUGAUAUGCAACUGGUUGAGAACUCUAAUAACUCAUAUGCAAAGCCAACUUUAACUGGAAUGAGCACAUAAAUAGAAAUAUGUCAUCACGAUAGGUUAUAAACCUCAAGUCGUGUGCUAGUUUUAUUCUUUAUUAGUUCUUGAGACUUUCAAGACCUUUAAGACUCCCACUUUCCUCUUGACAUAUAAGACUCUCUUGUCAAAUAUUCAAGGGAUAGUGCGGAUUCUUUAUCAAGACAAACACUUCACACAAUUGUCCUUAGUUGGUCUUUGUUUAAUCCAAAACAUCACAACUUACCAACUUCAAAUGUACAAGAGUAGGACACUUUUACUCUUACAUUUGACAAGUGUUUUAAACCUUUCUUUAAGAUAUGUCACUCAACUUACAUUCUUGGAGUAUGACUCUAAGACUUGUUUUGGAACGAAGUAUGACUCAUCUUCUUGAUUUGACCACUUCAACAAUUCAUAGCUCCUCUUCUUAGCUAUCAGAAUGAACUUAGAGGAUGAAUUAUGAUAAGGUCUCUUAAUCAUUAAGAUGAUCAUAUAACAUGAUACUAAAGUACUCUCCCAUCUAUUCAGAUUUGAGAAACUUUUAUCAUUCUGCCUAAUUUGAUUCUUCUCAUUCGUUCUGUCAUACAUUGAAAUUUUUCAAUGUUUCAGAAUUAUACUUAAGCUUGUAAGUAUAAUCAUAUUUACUAAACCUUAGUAAAUCAUGACGAAUAGUCUUAUCCAUCUUUUGUGGUGGACUUAAUCAUUGCAUGAUAUGGGCAUAUUUAGUUAUAAAAUUCAUGCAUUAUCUUAAUACUUUAUGUUGUUUUUGUCUCAUUUAAUGAACAAAAGGUACUUAAUUAGUUUAUAAUUUCAUUUUUCAGCAACAAUGACAUGCUUGGAUGGAAAAGGAAGCGGAACUAGCAAUUGGAAGCUUGGAUCUUGGAUUUUGAAGAAAGAAGGAUGUUGCUGGACAGCUUGACCCCUUGUCAGUGUUUUGGCCAUAUCUCAUGAACCGUAACUCCGAUUGAUGAGAUUCAAAAUGUUAUGAAAACUAGAUACAAUUUCAGACGACUUUCAUGUUUUGAGAAAAUGUUGAUUCCAAAUGGACUCGGCGAGUAGGCCAUCAACUCGGCGAGUUGGUCAGAAGUUUCACGAUUCUUGACUUUGCCUUGCCGUACACGGGAUUUUAAGUGAUGGACUCGCCGAGUAGGUCACUAGACUCACUGAGUAGCCCCUAUUUUCAUAAAAUAUAUAUAGAAACACUUCUCAUUCAAACCCUGAUGAAUGGGGGAAGUUUAGGACGAUUUUUGGAGGCCAGAAGGGUUCUUAGAAGUUGUGGUUUUCGAGAUUUCAACCUAGAUAUCAAAUUGGAAGAAGAUCAAAGGCAAUAACACACUACUGUUAUCUUAAUCUUUUGCAUAAACCAUGUUUCAAUCAUUAGAUUAUGUUUUUAGUUUGUUAUUUUCUGUAGAUAUGAGCUAAAAUCUCAUAACUUCUGUUUAGGAAAGAUGAAUUUGUGAUUAUGGUUUGAUUUAUGGUAGGAUUGAUUUAAUAUUGGUGAUUUUGUUGAUUCUAGCUUGUUAAAGAACCUUAUGUGUGAAUGAUAACUAUUUUUCUAUUAAUAGGAAGAUAAUUGAGUUGCAUGAACAUCUCUUAGUUGUUAACCUCAUAUGUUUAUGUGACCACUUUAUCAUAUGUCUAGGAUUAAUGAACAUGAAACUAGAAUUAAUAAGAAAAAUAGGUAAAUUCAUGUGUGAGCUUGUGUGAUGACCAUCAACAAGAGGUUAACUAAAGGACCAAAUUAGUUAACCAUUACAAGUCUAAAUUAACCCGAAUAAAUAACCUAGUGAAUUGAAUUAAAUUAGACAACUAGCCACUGUUUGAGUUAGUUUGUUCUCUAAGGAAUAGUGCAGCGAACGUGAAUCUAAUCACUUGAAUCGGUAGCCAAUAAAAGAAUUAAUACAUUGCACAAUUACCAUAAUAUCAACCAUAGGAUCAAUUGAGUUGAACUAAACAGAAGUUCCAUUCGUUAUUGAAUUUAGUUGAAUCUUUACUUAUCUAGUUUUUAGUUAAGUAGUCUAAGUAUUAGUUGGUAAGUUUCUAGUCUUGCAAAACUAGAGAAACCCCCUUUUAUUACUUGUUUUAUUAGAUAAUAUUAGCAUUUAUUUUAAUUGUUUAUCGUUCCCUGUGUUCAAUACCCUACUUGCUUGAACUAUAUUACUAAUCGAUAGGUACACUGCCUUUCGUGUGUUUAUUUUGUGUCUAAGUUAGUAGGAUUAAAACUAGUUCGUUUUACACACAUCAUUGCACAAGAAUGUGUACUCGAUCUCUUAGUCCUUUACUUGACUCACACAUCCAUGUGAACAAGUAAAUAGUCUUAAUUUUCCAAUGCUUGAAAGUUCUCAUUCAUCAUACUAUACAACUUGCAUGAUUCCAAGUUUCGGUCCAAUUGAGAACUUGGGUGAUGAGAAUCUUUCCUUAUUUGGUAAAUUUAGACACUACCACAAAUGAAAGAAUCAAUUUCGUAUUCCGAUGUUGCUAUCAAUGGGAUCAUAUAAAAAACAAUUUUCCACAAAUGUCACUCCUGGUAUCAACCGACCCAAGUUCCUCCGAUCGCUGCUAUCGAACCUCUAUAAAGUCCAACUCUUCUCUCCUAGAGUUUCGACAACUGAUUCAAGCCGGCCAUCGGCUUCUUUCUCUGAUAACAACUCUCAUUAACCAAUGAUCGCCCGAUGAUACUUCCAUUGCCCCAAAUCACAAUAAUUACUUGACCCUUACAAAGCUAAACAUCACCCUGGACCACCGGGUCCUGAUCUGGUACCAAGCUGCUAUCCCUUUCCUUGACUGGCAUAUCCUUUAUCGAAUUCACUUCUGGGACUCAUCCCACUUUCCUUUCCGAAACCAACUCGUUUCUUUCCGAGCUGACAGGAUGGCACAUCCUUCAGCUCCUGAGCAACUCCCAUGAGCUCUCCCUUGCAGACACAUACGCAUGCCAAACCUGCUCUAACAUCCUCAGGCUGGAAACCUGGCACACUGAUGAUACUUUCACAUAUCCCCAUGAAGAAUUACCGCUACAUACAUAACUUCCUGAUUACAACCAUACUGGAAAAUCCAAGGCUCCAUCCUUGCAUCCCUUCUGAACUCUUCUGAUUCUACACUACCGGAAAUCCUUCUGCAACCUCAACAGACACCCAACCCGGAUGUGUUCCCAUAUCACUCGUACCAUCCCAGUACUUACUACCAAUAGCUGAAGUACUGCCGAUAAUCCACUUACUCCAGUUCCUCCUCUAUUGGAGUACCCACGCUCCUUCCGAAACUACAUGCCUUUCUUUUCCAGGAAAUCCACUCAACAACCCUUACUGCACCUACACGUGCCACUGAGCUAAACUGCACUCUACAUUAUCCAUGUAGAGCAACUGCUAUUCUCGCAUUUCCAUAAACUCUGAUUCUGCUUGCAAGGACUCUCAGGUCCAUGCACUGCCUUUCACUAACAUGAUCAAUACUAGGGGCCAGACCAUAUCAAUUAUCAUCCCAUGGUGACGCCUUUUCUCACUCUCCUCGAACCAAUCCACUAACACAUAUAGAGUCUUCAGCAUGCCUGGACCGCCUUCCCAGGCCUUCAGCCUAUCUGGACCACUCUCGGAACCUUCAGCAUGUCUGGACCGCCCUCCUGGGCCUUCAGCCUGUCUGGACCGUUCCCCGAGCCUUCAGCCUGACUGGUAUGCCCACAAGCCUUCAGUCUGUCUGGACCGCUCGAACCUUAUGAUAUUUCAGGUAAAUAGGCAGCUUCAUAAUCAAUGCCCCUUCCUUUGGCAAGAGAAACAUAUGGACUCUUUGGGAAUGGUGUACUGGACUAUCACAGACUUGUCUUUCUCUUUACCAUUUGGUCAACCAAGUUGACUAUGGCCAAUCCCUUUCCAUUGGGAAGCAAAAGUUUUUCUGGAUAUCCAAUGUUACCAUUUUCAAAGCCCAUGGAAGUUUGGGAAGUUGAUCUUCUAAUCAAAUUUGCUUUACUAGUCAUCCAAAUCAUUGCUGAUUCAGUAGCACCAAGCAAAUAGAUAUUAUCAUUAAGGUUCAUGUCAUAGUCUGUUUCAUAGUAGUCCCAAAGGAACUCACUAUGUGACUUAGAAGUAAUUGAACAUCUAACUUUCUCAAGACUUUGACACCCAACUCUCCCGGCUUGUCAAUAUGUGACUUCAUCUCCAAGAUGUGAUCACACAUAAACCUUGCUUGCCAUUAGGGCUUGAGUGACCUUGAACUUGUGGGUUAGGGAGAAUAAUUGGAGGAGGUGGAGGAAGUGAAGUUCAAAGAGAUUUAGGGAGAUCAUAGAUGUCUGAACUAGACAUCUUUUGGGAGAUAUUCAAGUUUAGUUGAUUUAAAGUCCUUAAUAUAACACCCAAUAUGAAAUAUUAAGGCUAGGACCCAACACAAUACUUUUACAACUUGGAAGAGGGAUGCCGUAAUCCAGGCUAUAAAAUAUUUGAAGGUAGGUGAAUGACGAUUCACCAAUUUCCACCAUGAAAAACGAAAUAGUUUAUUAGGUUUUUAAUUGGAUUUGAAACUCAUAUAUCUUUUGAGAUUCAUUGAACUUUUCAAUGACAUGUUUCAAGCUUGAGUGUGCCCUUCAGGUUUUGUGACUGGGAUGCCAAGGAUCACAAAACAAGGUGUGAAGUCACCAUGCAAAUUACUUGGUACUCUUAAAUGUUUAUCACCCAACCGAUGUGCCGAUAAACCACACACGCUCCACCGGCCUAUGAUAAACUUUAAGAAAACCCUUUGCCGACCUUGUUAAAUCAAGAUAGUGUGCCGGUAAACCACACGCGCUCCACCAACCGACUUAAGCAAAGUGCAAAGUGUAAUUUCAUGGGUUAACACCUUAUUCACAUUUUCCUAAGUAACUAAGAUUGGGUAUUUAUAAAAGGUUUAGUUACUUAGUAUUUAUCAUUAAUACUUUUAAUGAAGGGAGAAUUUAUAGUCUUUGUCCUACCCGUUUGGCUAAUGACUCUCCACCAGUCAAGGAAGCGGUGGGUGAGAGUGGACACCCAUUAAACUGCCAUUUUAUAAGCAGUAACCUUAUACCCCCCUUAUAGACCGGCUUCGUGAAUGAGGCCUACUAACGGUAAGACUGACUUUACUCUUAUACAUACAUAUAAAUAUUAUUAACUUAUAAUAUUAUAAAGUAUAAGGGUUGAAUUUUAACUUUUAAAAAUCUAAGGGCUAAUUUGGAAUUAAAGUAUUCAUAAGUGAAAAACUUUUCAAAUUCCAAAACUUGAGGGCAAGUUUUAAACUAUUCAAAACUAAUUAAAUCCAUAACUUAUGUGUUUAAAGUAGUUUUAAUUAAAAAAACUCUUCAAGUUCCAUAACUUGAGGACAAGUUAUGGAAGACUUUAAACUAAUAAAAGAAUGUAAUUUUUUCUUUAUGUUGUAACUUAUGGAAUUAAUUAAGGUUACACAUUUUAUUACUUAAUGAAGUGACUCUUGAACCUCCAUAACUUGAGGACAAGUUAUGGAGUCAUAAAACCAUAUAAUGAGAACAAGACUCUUCAUUUUUGUAACCUUUGCAAACUUUUAUGAGUUUUAAGAAACUUUAAUCUGACUUUUCAUGUAACUUGAGGACAAGUUAUACAAACACAUUUUAGAAUCCACUCUUAGAUUAAAAUGGAUCAAAGACACAUAAUCAAUCAACCUUUUCUAUUAAUCUAAGCAACUCAUAUGAACAAGAUAAUUGGAAUCAAAUUUUUUCAAGUAAUUAGCAUAACUUUUAAACUAAUACAAAACAUGAAUCUAUUGACAAUUAAUUUUGAAAUUGGAUUAGCAUGAACACUACCACAUCAAAAACAAGUUUAUAAGUCCAAAAACAUCUAAGCGUAAUGUUCCUAGUCCAUUUCUAGCCAAAACAGUCGAAUAUAUGCUGUCUGGGAGUCCAACUCGUCGAGUACACAAACCAACUCGGCGAGUUGGAUGCUUUUUGCCUUGGACUUGGCGAGUCCAUCAGUGGAGUCGGCGAGUCUGCUAUGCAGAUAGCACCAAAAUUCGAUUUUUCAGCUAAUUUUGCAAGUAUAACAAGAAAACAAGUCUAGGCUCUAAUACCACUGUUGGGUUUUGAGCAUUCUAACACUCCUAUGGUGUACAUGCAACCCUAUAAACCUUGGAUCUAUGUUUUCUCUAUUAUACAUGCAAAUAAGAACUUUCCACGGCUUUAAUCCUAACUAGCAUAUUAUGAAGCUCUUAUACUACAAAGUACUAGUUAGAUGACAUCCCUUUUCAUGUAGCUUGAUGUCUUCAAGCUUUAAGAGCUUAGCCCCAAUAGUGUGGAAGCCUCAAGUGGAAUCACAAAUCACCAAAACACCUUGGAAGACUUUGAGAAUAAGAAUACUUUGGUUCUCUCUAGUGAAAUCGGCUAGCCCUCUUAGUGUACCCACACUAAUGCUAAUUUCACCAACCAAGGACAUCUUUAUAUAGUGUGGAGACUAGGGUUAAACCCAUGACCUUUCAUUUCAUAUGAUCCAUGGGUUAAACACUCCAUGGACUAUCCAUGAAAGCUUAGCCCAACCUAAAUGAACUUGGCCCAUUCCAUAUAUAUAAGAGUCCAUAUUUAAUUAGUUCAUUUUGAUCACUUAAUUAAUUCUAAAUUAAAUCUUGAUCAAUACUAAUUAAAUAAUAUGAUUCCAUAUUAAUAUAUUAGAACUUAUAAUAUAUUAAUAUAAAUCAUAAAUAUACUAUUCUCAAAAGACUAUCCAUAUAAAUUGUGUCGGUGAAGUGCAACCCAAAUGGACCAUGCCGGGUCGGGUCAAGUACAUACCAAAUAUAGUUAUGGACUUAGACAUUAAUCCAACAGUCUCCCACUUGGAUAAGUCUAAAACUAUUAUUGAGUAUGACUUCAAAACNNNNNNNNNNNNNNNNNNNNNNNNNNNNNNNNNNNNNNNNNNNNNNNNNNNNNNNNNNNNNNNNNNNNNNNNNNNNNNNNNNNNNNNNNNNNNNNNNNNNNNNNNNNNNNNNNNNNNNNNNNNNNNNNNNNNNNNNNNNNNNNNNNNNNNNNNNNNNNNNNNNNNUACUACUUGUUGAAUCAUACACAAAGGCACGUUUUAUAGCACCGAGUUACUGAAUGCGGUUUCGUGCAAUCAAUGUACAACCAACUCAUAGUAAUAACUCAUAUCUCUAGGUUUGAAGAAUAUAAGAUAUUAUCGUCUCAUGAUCACUCAUGAUAAAAUCCAUGAAGUGAUUCAAAUGAGCGCGGGUUGAAUCCAAUACUCAGAACUUAUGAGUACUCAUGAGUGUUGUAGCACAACUUUGUCCACCAACUUGGACCUCUACAACUUUAUCAUGCACUUCCUGAAGAUCCCUAGCCUAACACUAACAUGUUGUUCUAACAUAUCUCAUAACAAAUAACUUGUAUGGUAUUUUGGGGUUACUUACUGGCUCCGGCUGAUCGUACCUCCGCGUCCUCCUUUACUCAUUUUUGAAAACCAUUUUAAAUUCUCUUUUGAAAACUCUCCUUGAUUUGAGACUGGAUUCACACGAAUGUUCCUCCAAUUCACUCAAGCCAAGGCUCUAAUACCAACUUGUAACGCUCUAAAAAUUCCAACCAAUCUAAGCUUUUAAAAAACAACCCAAUUUCAUUAAGUUAUUACAAAAAGGGUUUCAAUACAUUUGUUAUCAGAGUAUUCCCAGAACCAUAUCAUAAAACAUAAACACGAGGAGCGGUACGAUCACGCCUUUGCCUUGCCAUGGUCUCCUGAAGUACCU